AUAGGGAACCCAGCCUGGGUCCCACUUUGGCUUUCCCAUGUAGGAGGUCAAGAGCUUGGGCCAACUCUCUCUGCACCAUCUCCACCUGAGCAACGGGAAAAUUAAGCCAACGUGGGGACAGCAGUGGUGAGGGGCGAAUGCAUGCCUAUAGGGGUGGUACGCAGAGGUGAUGGGAUGUUUCUUAAGGAACGUUGAGCGGUGUAUUUUCUGUAUAAAUAGGAGAGAGCUCAUGAGGAAACAGAUACUUACACCACAUGUGCUCACACAUGGACCUCACUCCCUGUCCCUCGGAAUGUGUCACAACCCAAGGAAUCAACACAAGAGACUUGUGUCCAGGGCAGGUGCCACCAGGGCAUCACUAUGACUGGGAAAGAGCUGCCUGCUCCACAUCCCAGACUACCCCCUUUCCAAAAGGAACCCAGGAUCUGGCUGCUCUCCAACCAAUGCCCGCAAGGAAGACCCACCUUCUUCUUCUUCACCCCGAUUGUUUGUCACUGGAGUGGGGCGCUCCAAAGCCAUGCCAUUAUUAUUAGUUGCGUCAUCGGCCGGCAUCUAGUGCAAGAAAACAGUGUGAGAAUCUAAGCUUCCUGGUCUCUAUGGACAUGAGAAUUUUCAUGGUCUUUCUGCCCAGCAAAACCCAAAAGGGAAACACUCCUCGAGUCCACGGUCCCAAAGAAAACACAGAGGUCAUCCUGGACAAAGGCUUCAAAUCUUCCUGUAGGAAUUCUUAUGUGUACUUUGACCAAAACCCACCAAAUUCUCUUGCAAGGAGGGCAAUUCUCUGCUGGUAACAUUGCUCUCAGCCGCACUUCCAGUUUCUAGAGGCUGCUGUCAAUUUUUCAAUCAGUCAUGCAUUGGGAGAGACAUUCCGUCAACACUCGUCCAACCCAGGAAAAAUGUGAGGAGGAUGCAUGAGAAAAAUGACCCUGUGUAAACGCGAAAGAAGGAAGACAAAACAAGGAGAGGCGGUAGACAAGGGGAUGGGCAAAGGCCCUGGAGUGCACACGGGUAGCUGCAGAGGGCCAAGGAACAGGAGGAAGGCUGCUCUCCCCAGGCUUGCAAGGAGACACCUCCCCCAGUGUUCACUCCAGGGGAGGGGAUGGCCUUCCUCUUAGCCACUCAAGCAGGGGUCCAAGGAAGAACCCAAAGCAUUAAACAUCUGGGGACCAACCUGAGCCAGGAGCUGCAAGACCUCUGCGCCGAGAGCAAUAAAACAUGACUCAAGGAAAUUAAGGAGGAGUCAAAGAAGGGCAGACAUAGGCCACGCUCCUGGCUUGGAAAAAAUGAAUAUCCUAAAAAUGGCCGUUCUACGCAAAGCAAUCUACAGAUGCAAUGCCAUCCCUAUCCGUGAUCGUUUUCGCAGAACUAGAACAAAACCGUCCAAACAUUUACACGGAACCUAAACAGGCCCGGAAUGGCCAAGGCAAUCCUGAGGAGCAAAAACCAAGCAGGAGGCACACCUCUCCCAGACUUCGGUCAAUAUUACAAAGCUACGGUAAGCAAGACAGUGUGGCAAAGGUACCAAAACCGACACACAGACCACUGGAACAGAAGACAGAACCCAGAAAUAAACCCCAAACCGACGGUCAAUUAUUCUUCAACAAAGGGGGCAAGAAUGUCAAGGGGGGAAAAGACAGUCUGUUCAGCGCGUGGUGCUGGGAAGCUGGACAGCCACAUGAAAAUCCAGGAAACUGGAAAACAACACCCUCAAACCGUGCACAAAAAGAAACUCAAAACGGCUUAAAGACUUAAACCUAAGACAAGACACCAUCAACAGCAAACACAAACAACGACCCACUUGAAAAAUGGGCAAGAGAACUGAAUAGACAGUCACCCAAGGAAGAUAGACAGAUGGCCAACAGGCACACGAAAACAUGCUCAACACCAUGAAUGAUUAGAACAAGGCAAAUCCAAGCUGCUAAGAAGUACCACCUCGCACCUGUCAGAAGGGCCAUCAUUAGUAAGGCUAGAAAUUACAAAUGCUGGAGAGGGUGUGCAGAAGAGGGUACCCUCCCACCCUGUUGGUAGGAAUGUAACUUGGCACAGCCGCUAUGGAAAGCACCAUGCAGGGACCUCGGAAAACUAAAUAUAGAACUAGCAUGUGGCCCAGAAAUCCCACUCUUGGGCGUAUGUGGGGACAAGACUUGCCUUGAACAAGAUACAGGCACCCAUGGACGUUGACGACAGCGCCGAGUGUCCAGUGCGGCACUCCUCACGCUAGCCAAGACGUGGAAACCACCUAAACGUCCACCGACAGAUGAAUGGGUUAACAAGAGGUGGGAUAUAUACACAAUGCGGUACUCCUCAGCCGUGAAAGGAAGGAAUUAGUGCCAUUUGCAGCAGAGUGGAUGGAACUAGAGGCGCUCAUCCUAAGCAAAGUCCCUCAGAAAGAGAAACACCAACCCCACAUGAUGUCACUUAUAUCUGGACUCUAAAACACAGCACAAAUGAUCCUUUCCACGGAACAGAAACUCAAGGACUUGCAGAAGAGACUUGUGCUUGCCAGUGGGGUCAGGGAGGAAGUGGGAUGCACUGGGACUCUGGGCUUUAGGGAUGCAAACAAUUGCAUCUGGACUGGCUAUGCGAUGAGAGCCCACUGGAUCGCACAGGGAUACAAUAUCCAGCCACUCACGAAGGAACGUGAUAGAGGAUAGUGGGAGAAAAUGUAAGCAUGUAUAUGGGUGUGUCUGUGUGCGUGUGUGCACGCGUGUGCGACAGGAUCACUUUCCUGCACAGCAGAAAUUAACAGAAAAAUUUAAACCGAGUGUAAAGGAAAAAAUUAAAAUCAUUUAAGAAAACUUAGAACUUUCCUGGAGGGGUAAUUCUAGGAAAAGUAUGCUAAUGAAGGGAUCUUAAACCCAAAACGUUGAUCUUAAAAACCAAAAAUAGAACACAUGACAAUACUGAAAUCCAACCACUAUCCAUCACAUGACAGUUUUUCUGCAGGCUUCAUUUGGUGCAUGGGCCUUGAGCAAAAAGGAUGUCUGCCCUCCCAAGAGCCUUACAACAAGAGGGACUUACUUCAUGGAGAGAAACACAGAGGGAGCACGGAGUCCUUCUCACCCAGAUGGGCAGCGAGUUUGUACAAUGGUGCCGCACACCAGGCUAAGGAUGAGGGUGAACUGUGAGCUCUUACUUGCAAGGUCGCCUGGGUGUGUGCUACCUAGGGUGGUCAAGUGUGAGAAUGACAGUGACACUGUCCAAUACAAGCAUACGCCUCGCCGAUUCCCAUCUGCUUUGGCCAUGUUGAAGCAAUGACCGCAGCACUGACAGGGACCUUUUAAAAUGCACAGCAUCGACAGGCCCUCUGGAGACCCUGGAAUUCCCGGGCAUAGACACGGAGCAGGGACCCUCCCCGCUCCGUGCUCCCCACGAACGACCAAGUCCUGGCUGAGGGAGAGGUGCAGGUCAGGGGUCCAGAGCGUCCCCAUAGGGAACCCAGCCUGGGUCCCACUUUGGCUUUCCCAUGUAGGAGGUCAAGAGCUUGGGCCAACUCUCUCUGCACCAUCUCCACCUGAGCAACGGGAAAAUUAAGCCAACGUGGGGACAGCAGUGGUGAGGGGCGAAUGCAUGCCUAUAGGGGUGGUACGCAGAGGUGAUGGGAUGUUUCUUAAGGAACGUUGAGCGGUGUAUUUUCUGUAUAAAUAGGAGAGAGCUCAUGAGGAAACAGAUACUUACACCACAUGUGCUCACACAUGGACCUCACUCCCUGUCCCUCGGAAUGUGUCACAACCCAAGGAAUCAACACAAGAGACUUGUGUCCAGGGCAGGUGCCACCAGGGCAUCACUAUGACUGGGAAAGAGCUGCCUGCUCCACAUCCCAGACUACCCCCUUUCCAAAAGGAACCCAGGAUCUGGCUGCUCUCCAACCAAUGCCCGCAAGGAAGACCCACCUUCUUCUUCUUCACCCCGAUUGUUUGUCACUGGAGUGGGGCGCUCCAAAGCCAUGCCAUUAUUAUUAGUUGCGUCAUCGGCCGGCAUCUAGUGCAAGAAAACAGUGUGAGAAUCUAAGCUUCCUGGUCUCUAUGGACAUGAGAAUUUUCAUGGUCUUUCUGCCCAGCAAAACCCAAAAGGGAAACACUCCUCGAGUCCACGGUCCCAAAGAAAACACAGAGGUCAUCCUGGACAAAGGCUUCAAAUCUUCCUGUAGGAAUUCUUAUGUGUACUUUGACCAAAACCCACCAAAUUCUCUUGCAAGGAGGGCAAUUCUCUGCUGGUAACAUUGCUCUCAGCCGCACUUCCAGUUUCUAGAGGCUGCUGUCAAUUUUUCAAUCAGUCAUGCAUUGGGAGAGACAUUCCGUCAACACUCGUCCAACCCAGGAAAAAUGUAGGUCUCCACUGAUUUGAACAGUGUAGACUUGCAUAGUUGAAACUGACAGACAAAAGGAGGAAAUUGGAGUUCCCGUUGUGGCACGGCGGAACCAAAACUGACUAGAAAGCAUGAGGCUGCAGGUUUGAUCCCUGGACUCGCUCAGUGGGUUAAGGAUCUGGUGUUGCCAUGCGCUGUGCUGUAGGUCACCGACUCGGCUCACAUCGUGACUUGCUGUGGCUGUGGUAUAUGCCGGCAGCUGUAGUUCUGAUUAGACCCCUAGCCUGGGAAACUCCAUGUGCAGCAGGUGCAGCCAUUAAAAACCAAAACCAAAACCAAAACCAGAGAGAGAGAGGGAGACAGAGAGAGACAGAGAGAGACAGAGAGAGACAGAGAGAGAGAGAGAGAGAGAGAGAGGAUAAAAGAAAAAUUGAGGAAAUGAAGUUAUGCUUUUAUCUCAGAUAAGACAAGGCACUUACUGUGCAGCCACUUGGAGCCUCUAUUCCUCCUGCGGUGCUGGGCAGCCUUUCAUGGGAGCCCGGGGUUUCUUCUAGGAGGACACAGAUGGAAGGGUCAUGAUAUUGGUGACGCUGCUCAGGAACUAUUCAGGCAGCAUUGUUGGGGAGUGGUGUGUGAACCCAGGGAGGGAGAGUAAGGAUGAGGGUGAUUUUGAAGCAUGGGCACACAUGCUGUUGGCUGACCACUCUGGUGGGAUGAGGCUGGCCAAGGGGAGGUUCCUUGACAUAAUGAGAAGGGGAGCUUUAAGCUUCCUAGCCAAAGCCAACAUACUCAAUUCAAUGUAGGCAAUUUGAAAAGAGGUAAAUUCCAAAUUCAUGUUCUGGGGAACCUCCCGCUGUGGCUCCGUGCGUUAAGGACCCGAAGCUGUCUCUGUGAGGAGGCAGGGUCGCUCCCUAGCUUCCCUCAGGGGCCUAAGGAUCCAGGGUUGCUGCAUGCUGCGGCGUAGUGUGCACAUGUGGCCUGGAUCCGGUGGUGCCAUGGCUGGGGUACAGCUCUGGGUGAACCCCUCCCCUGGGAACUUCCAUAUGCCACAGGUGUGGCCACACACACAUAACAAAACAAAAACAAGUCAUGCCAUGUUUCAAGGACAGAGUCCAAUGACUCCUCCAGCCUAUUUUAAAUCCCGUGGCGACUCCCGCUACUUCUUGGAAUGUUCCAAGACCAUUUUUCAUCUCCACACGGUCACAUGCCCUGCUUCUGCUCAGCACAGUGUGAUGGCACAGGUAUAAUAUUUAUCCUUUGCAUAACUGUUAACUAUACAGUUCCGUAGCCUUUUUGACUUCCACACGCUUUUCUACCCAUCAACACUACCUACACCCACACCUUUGUCAUCCUACCCGACAUGACCCAUCACAACUCACCUUCCCCUGGCCACCAGGCCUUGGUAAUUCCUGCUUCUGCUAUAUGAACGUGCCUACACAAGUAGUAUUACACGGUAUCUGUCUUGCUGUGCACCUGCCUUAUUUCACUCACCACAAUAGCUUUUUGUAGUGUUCGGUCCACCCAUACCCUAACGUAUUUCGAGCUUUAACUCCACUCUGCGGCUAAAGAGUAGCUCACUCGGAGUUUCUUUGGCAUUUCAUUUUGCCAGUCCUCUCAUUCAUCACCACAUUCAUCAAGGCCUUUUGCAUAAUGCCCAUCUUGGGACUCCUGGGAGAAACAGGCCAGGGAGCAUUCGGGUACGGAUUUCUCUGUGCUAUAAUGGUGAGAAAUCACAUUGCACAUCUGUCAAAGGGCAGAGCUUAUAAGAGCACCAAGUAUGACUCCUAAGGCAAACUAUUAGUGUUCUGCUAAUUGGAAUAAAGGUACCACCAGCAUGUGAUACACUGUCAAUGGCUGGACCUGGAGCGGUGGGAUUCGGGAACCGUCUGUGUCAUCUGUUGGACUUCUUUGUCCACAUAAUCCAGGUCGAAACAAUGUCUAAUAAUUUAAAGACACCUGGAAACACGGCUUCCCUGAGGGAGACACAGCAGCUAAUGUCCAAAAGCCAGCCGUCAUCGACACCCUGGCUAGAGAUCAUCUUCACCCUCCAACAUCAACCGGCUGUUGAGAUUUCAAAGUCGUUUUAUUUCCACAGGUAUAUAAACACUACCACCUGACUAAGUAUGUUUCAACUUGGACACACACGCACGCACGCACGCACGCACGCACGCACAAAGGAUACCACAAAAUACUUCCGAGUUCAUUCGUAUACAGGGGACCCUAAAGAAAAAUUAUUCUUGCAUGCACCGAAGGAGAAAAUCUCCACGUACCUGUCCCCGACCCAUUAGCGGGGUGCACUCGCUGGUGGCGCCAGGAGCAUAACUUUCUGAUGCAGCCAGAGGUGGAUCUUUGUGACGUCUGUCGAUUGUUCCUUUGGAUCCGGAAGCAGCAUCCUAUGCAAUCUAUCACAACAGGGAGGACUGCUGACAUCUUGCUGUCAGAAGACCGUAGGGAAAUUUGUACUCAUUUAUUCCAUUUAAUCUUUUGGUCCCCUGGCUCACCAGCUGCCCAGGAGUGCUGCCUGGAUCAAGGUCAGACUUAGAAGGAUCAUGCAGUUUAAAACAACCAACAGACAGGAUUUUUGAACAACCACCUUUGUUUAACUGAGACCUUCUAGAAACACAGCAAAGUAAGAGUGAUCGUGCCUGAUGGUCUGGUUCAAACACAUUCAGAAGAAUCAUGAACCUGGGGAAAGGGUUGUAGAUCCCUAAGGGCCUCGAUGCCCUGUUCUACGAGGUGGAAAUGGUAUUCUAGAAGGCUGACUUUUAGUAUGAUGUUAUGAGGACGACUUCAUGAAGUACGGGUAACAUUUUAGAAAAAGGAAGGACGGGUGCCUCGUCAAUGCUCCGUAUGCGUUCAGCCUUGAGUGAUGGCAAGAGUAAGCUAGACAGUCAGUGGUGGCUGAAAACCAAAGGGGGUAAAUGGAUGCCUCAAGUCGGGAAGGGUGGAAGCUUAUUCCCCAGCAUCUUCAUGGGAACGAUGCUUCGCAGCUCAUGGACAGUACCUAUUUUCAUCUCCUCUGAUACUCAGUCCUGUUGAAGGUGAGGAAGUGCAAACAGGACCCACAUGAGGGGUAACCAAGUGACAGUCCAAGCGUCACAACAAUGACGGGUGAUGAAUCUGAGGCAGGUGGACCAGACAUAUUAAUUAAGACAACGAACCCGGAAGUUAUACGCAUAACUCUAGAGAUAGCUCAGAGGGGUAGAAAUGAGAAGAAAAACACAAGAAGGAAAAAUGCAGGAGACAAAGUGAGCGAGCCCAUCUGAAGGAACAGCCACUCGGGGGAGCAAUGUAAACUUACCUUAGGAACAGUGAUUGAGAUUGCCCAUUCCUAAAGCAUGAGCCGUGAAGUGAGAGCGUCACACUGGCCACCACGUACAAACCUCUCAGGCCACAGAGCGACAGCCUGACCAUGAGGCAAGAAGUGCACAAGCACAUUACCGUGGUGACGUGUCAUCGUACCACUUUCAGAGGGAAGUCAACCCCUGCACAGGAUGGGUCCAACGGCUGCCGGCAGAGAGCGUGUUUCCAUGGACAAGCUUGGCUUUUCAGAGGAGCCUUGUCAUUUCCGAAACGGAAUCUCAGGCUCCCACAGAACCCUCUGACUAAGAAAAUAAUUUUCUAUGAGAGAGAACGACCUGUCCCCCAGGAGGAGUUGAGAGUGAACCUUGCAGGGUGAAGAGGCCAAAAAGCCAGCAUGUGCAGAAUUUAAGGAAGAACUACCCCUCCAUUUCUACUCUUCCUGAGUCACUAGACAUUUGCCAAUCAAACCAUUUCAAAACGUGAGAUUUAAGGUUAUUGUAACCAGGGUGAAUGUUUUCAUGUUUCAUGACGACUGCUAUUCUGCAGUGUCCUAUUCAAGUUUGCUGCUCACAAAAAUUACUAUUUUUGAUGCACAUUGCAAGUAAGUCUCCAAUUUGUCACAUGCUUGUAUCUUACUACAGUUACUCGUACAUACAACCUGAGGAAAGU
ensembl:lncRNA